rnacentral:lncRNA from 1 species
CACCAUCCUCGUACCUCUCACAGCCCCACCGUGGUAUCCUGGCUAUUACUGUAAGCAAGAAUCUGAGUUCUUAAAAGCCCAAGGCCUUUAAGAGAGGCUGCCUCCCUCAGCAACUCCCUAAGACUCACUCCUGAGGCCUCAGGUUCCAGUGUGACCUAACAUUGCUACAUCCCUUCUAGCAGGGCAAGGCAGGACGGAGGCUGAAAAAAAGAACUCUGAGUAAACUUCCA